GACGAACGCUGGCGGCGUGCCUAAUACAUGCAAGUAGAACGCUGAAGAGAGGAGCUUACUCUUCUUGGAUGAGUUGCGAACGGGUGAGUAACGCGUAGGUAACCUGCCUUGUAGCGGGGGAUAACUAUUGGAAACGAUAGCUAAUACCGCAUAACAAUGGAUGACACAUGUCAUUUAUUUGAAAGGGGCAAUUGCUCCACUACAAGAUGGACCUGCGUUGUAUUAGCUAGUAGGUGAGGUAAUGGCUCACCUAGGCGACGAUACAUAGCCGACCUGAGAGGGUGAUCGGCCACACUGGGACUGAGACACGGCCCAGACUCCUACGGGAGGCAGCAGUAGGGAAUCUUCGGCAAUGGGGGCAACCCUGACCGAGCAACGCCGCGGGAGUGAAGAAGGUUGUCGGAUCGUAAAGCUCUGUUGUAAGUCAAGAACGGGUGUGAGAGUGGAAAGUUCACACUGUGACGGUAGCUUACCAGAAAGGGACGGCUAACUACGUG
rnacentral:rRNA from 1 species